CAACCCUCAGGGCCCGUCCGCGGGACCUGGCGUUGGGGAUCGGCUGCCCCUGGCGGCUGCCGGCCCUGAAAUACAGUGGCGGUCUCUUCGCGACCUCCCCUGCGUAGUAGUGAUACCUCGCAGCCGGAUAGCGGAGCGGCCACGCCGUAAAACCCCCUACUUCUCAA
rnacentral:misc_RNA from 1 species